GACGAACGCUGGCGGCGUGCUUAACACAUGCAAGUCGAACGGUGAAGCCCCAGCUUGCUGGCGUGGUUCAGUGGCGAACGGGUGAGUAACACGUGAGCAACCUGCCCCAGACUCUGGGAUAAGCGCUGGAAACGGCGUCUAAUACCGGAUACGAGCUCCAGCCGCAUGGUUGGGGUUUGGAAAUUUUGUCGGUUGGGGAUGGGCUCGCGGCCUAUCAGCUUGUUGGUGGGGUAAUGGCUUACCAAGGCGACGACGGGUAGCCGGCCUGAGAGGGCGACCGGCCACACUGGGACUGAGAUACGGCCCAGACUCCUACGGGAGGCAGCAGUGGGGAAUAUUGCACAAUGGGCGGAAGCCUGAUGCAGCAACGCCGCGUGCGGGAUGACGGCCUUCGGGUUGUAAACCUCUUUCAGCAGGGAAGAAGCGAGAGUGACGGUACCUGGUGAAGAAGCACCGGCUAACUACGUG
rnacentral:rRNA from 1 species